rnacentral:rRNA from 1 species
GAUGAAUACAUAGUGUUGCAAGGCGAACGAGGGGAAGUGAAACAUCUCAGUACCCUUAGGAAAAGAAAUCAAUUGAGAUUCCCUCAGUAGCGGCGAGCGAACGGGGAUCAGCCCAUUAAGUUAUGUGUGUUUUAGUGGAACGCUCUGGGAAGUGCGAACGUAGAGGGUGAUAUUCCCGUACACGAAAGGGCACACAUAAUGAUGACGAGUAGGGCGAGGCACGUGAAACCUUGUCUGAAUAUGGGGGGACCAUCCUCCAAGGCUAAAUACUCCUGACUGACCGAUAGUGAACCAGUACCGUGAGGGAAAGGCGAAAAGAACCCCUGUGAGGGGAGUGAAAUAGAUCCUGAAACCGCAUGCAUACAAGCAGUGGGAGCACCUUCGUGGUGUGACUGCGUACCUUUUGUAUAAUGGGUCAGCGACUUAUAUUCAGUAGCAAGGUUAACCGUAUAGGGGAGCCGUAGAGAAAUCGAGUCUUAAUAGGGCGUUUAGUUGCUGGGUAUAGACCCGAAACCAGGCGAUCUAUCCAUGAGCAGGUUGAAGGUUGGGUAACACUAACUGGAGGACCGAACCCACUGUCGUUGAAAAGCCAGGGGAUGACUUGUGGAUAGGGGUGAAAGGCUAAUCAAGCCUGGUGAUAGCUGGUUCUCCCCGAAAGCUAUUUAGGUAGCGCCUCGGACGAAUACCAUAGGGGGUAGAGCACUGUUUCGGCUAGGGGGUCAUCCCGACUUACCAAACCGAUGCAAACUCCGAAUACCUAUGAGUACUAUCCGGGAGACAGACUGCGGGUGCUAACGUCCGUAGUCAAGAGGAAAACAAUCCAGACCGCCAGCUAAGGCCCCAAAAUCAUAGUUAAGUGGGAAACGAUGUGGGAAGGCAUAGACAGCUAGGAGGUUGGCUUAGAAGCAGCCACCCUUUAAAGAAAGCGUAAUAGCUCACUAGUCGAGUCGGCCUGCGCGGAAGAUGUAACGGGGCUAAAACUAUGUGCCGAAGCUGCGGAUUUGACAUUAGUCAAGUGGUAGGGGAGCGUUCUGUAAGCCGAUGAAGGUGUAUUGAGAAGUAUGCUGGAGGUAUCAGAAGUGCGAAUGCUGACGUGAGUAACGACAAAACGGGUGAAAAACCCGUUCGCCGAAAGACCAAGGGUUCCAGUCCAACGUUAAUCG